UUAACCGUGAAAUAAGAAUAUGAUGUUAUUCAACUUGUUAUGUUGCAUUAUUUUUUAACCACAAUAACGACACUUCUCAGUUGUGCCAUAUUGUGAAAAGGUGAAUUUGACUUUAUUUUCAGAUAUAACGACACAUUUUGUAUUACAACGAUAUUUGUGAAAAAUUAAUUAAAUUUUUCAUAUUGAUUUUUUCAGAAAAAACAACACAUUUGACUUAUGACGAAAUUGAUUUAUAUUUUUCACAAAUAAUGACAUAAUUCAAAGUUAAAUUUUUUGUUAAAUUUUUAAUGUUUGUUCAAUAUUUUCUCCUAAUUUGUUCCUUGUUCCAUCCAAUAAAUUGUUUAGUGCAUCCACAGUGGAUUAUCUUAAAAAAGCUUAGUUUAAUUAGUCGAAAGAAGAUUUGUAUUGGACUCUCAACCAUUUCGUGCUUAUAUCCUAUGUUUUCAAAAUAUAUAGAGUACGGCUGAGUUUUCGGAAUUUCUAAAUAAAAAUUGAAUGAAUUAUUUAACUGAAAUAUUAAAAAAAAAGUGUUAAAAUACCCUAGUUUUUGUGGGUUUCAGACCACCACUUAAUUAAAAACUGACAUUUCGAGAACUAAACAUCGAUUGAUAGCUCUAAAGGAUACGAAUACGAAUGAAAGGUGUAAAAUGUGGAAAGAAGCAAUUCAACCAAUUAUACGUCGUUUCGAUGAAUAAAAAAUUAUUAAAUUAAAUUAUUUAAAAACACACUACUUGCGCAAUUUUGUCGAAAUGUCGAACAUGGAAUCCAUAUAGGAUGUACAACUUUAGAUCCCGAUGGAGGACAUCGUUUCUCACAUAGAAAGGAGUCCCCACUAUGACUGAGGCAGUAUCUUGAUCUAAGGAGCCAAUAUAACUGCGUCAUCUUUAAUCUUAACUGAGUUCUUUUAAUUUUAAUGUGAUCUUUCCAAGUGCGUCUCUUAUCAAUUGUUAUCCCCAAAUAUUUUGCGCAUGUGCUUGUUGGUAACAACUGACCAUAUAAAGUCACUUGAGGGCAAUUUUUGUGCUUAACCCUUUCGCCCCUACUAGGACAAUAUGUCCCAGCAAACUUCAAACAUGUGUAUAACUUUUAAUUUUGAUCCAAUUACGCAUUGAAAUGUACCCAAUAAAGCCUUGAAGUCUUCUUUGAUGAUCAGUAACCGCAUUCCGUUAUUAUUGAUAUCAAUUUCCCGUUACCGAAUA